GAUGAACGCUGGCGGCGUGCUUAACACAUGCAAGUCGAACGGUGAAGGCGGAGCUUGCUCUGCUGGAUCAGUGGCGAACGGGUGAGUAACACGUGAGCAAUCUGCCCCUGACUCUGGGAUAAGCGCUGGAAACGGCGUCUAAUACUGGAUACGAGCUGCGAAGGCAUCUUCAGCAGCUGGAAAGAAUUUCGGUCAGGGAUGAGCUCGCGGCCUAUCAGCUUGUUGGUGAGGUAAUGGCUCACCAAGGCGUCGACGGGUAGCCGGCCCGAGAGGGUGACCGGCCACACUGGGACUGAGACACGGCCCAGACUCCUACGGGAGGCAGCAGUGGGGAAUAUUGCACAAUGGGCGAAAGCCUGAUGCAGCAACGCCGCGUGAGGGACGACGGCCUUCGGGUUGUAAACCUCUUUUAGCAGGGAAGAGGCGAAAGUGACGGUACCUGCAGAAAAAGCGCCGGCUAACUACGUG
rnacentral:rRNA from 1 species